rnacentral:ribozyme from 1 species
UUUUUUUUUUUUUUUUUUUUUUCCGUUUUUUU